rnacentral:rRNA from 1 species
AUUCUGGCUCAGGAUGAACGCUAGCUACAGGCUUAACACAUGCAAGUCGAGGGGCAGCAUGAAGUCAGCUUGCUGACUUGAUGGCGACCGGCGCACGGGUGCGUAACACGUAUCCAAUCUACCCAUCUGCUCGGGGAUAGCCUUUCGAAAGAAAGAUUAAUACCCGAUGGUUUCGUUUUUUCGCAUGAGAAGAUGAAUAAAGAUUUAUCGGCGAUGGAUGAGGAUGCGUCCGAUUAGCUUGUUGGCGGGUAACGGCCCACCAAGGCGACGAUCGGUAGGGGCUCUGAGAGGAGGAUCCCCCACAUUGGAACUGAGACACGGUCCAAACUCCUACGGGAGGCAGCAGUGAGGAAUAUUGGUCAAUGGGCGCGGGCCUGAACCAGCCAAGUAGCGUGGAAGGGAUGACUCGCCCUAGUGGGUUAGUAAACCUUCUUUUGGUUUGGGAAUAAAGUGAGCCACGUGUGGUCUUUUUGUAUGUACCUUACGAAUAAGCAUCGGCUAAUUCCGUGCCAGCCGCAGC